rnacentral:lncRNA from 1 species
AUGAUGGCUUCCUCCCGCGCCGCGCUGCUCGUCGCUGUUCUCCUCCUCCUGCUGGUCUCCUCCCUCUCCGUCCGAGCCGAGGCGGAUCAGGUGGCGCGAGCGCCGGCGCUGGCGCCGGACGUUGCCGCGGCGAGCUGGGUACAGCAGGGAUCGCAGGAAGCGGCGGCGCCGGGGCGGCCUGGAAUGGGCAUGGGCAAGAACGGCGCGGCGAGGUGGAGGAGGACGGCGGGGCGGCGCGGCCGGGGAGGAGGAGGAGGAGGCACCGGCGCGUGGGCGUUCUCGGCGAUGCUGCCCCGUGGGUUCGUGCCGCCGUCGGGAUCGUCGGCGUGCCACAACGACAUGCCGGCCGCCGCCGCCGACGCGGAGUUCUUCGUGUGCGGCGGCGGCGACGGGAGCCCGUGAUCGUCGACGACGACGACGACGAAGACGGCCGUGUUCGUUCCUGCCUGCCCGGUGCUGGACUUGUUCGAUCAACAAAUGAAGAUCCAGUUCCAAGAGCUCAUUCAAGAAUAGGAUGAUGAGUUAGUUCUUGUUUCGAUUCGUCACCUUCUCGGCUUCUCCCCUGUUCUUGAAUUUGUAAAAAGGCGGAAAAAAACUUUUGUCCUCCGAAAAUGAGUGCUUACACUACAAUCUCUUGGACAUUCC